UUUGUGGCUCAGUGGUAGAGCAUGUGUUUAGCAUAUGAGAGGCCCUGGCUUCAAUCCCCAGCACCAAAA
rnacentral:tRNA from 1 species